GAUGAACGCUGGCGGCGUGCUUAACACAUGCAAGUCGAGCGAAGCGCUUAAGUUUGAUUCUUCGGAUGAAGACUUUUGUGACUGAGCGGCGGACGGGUGAGUAACGCGUGGGUAACCUGCCUCAUACAGGGGGAUAACAGUUAGAAAUGACUGCUAAUACCGCAUAAGACCACAGGGUCGCAUGACCCGGUGGUAAAAACUCCGGUGGUAUGAGAUGGACCCGCGUCUGAUUAGCUAGUUGGUAAGGUAACGGCUUACCAAGGCAACGAUCAGUAGCCGACCUGAGAGGGUGACCGGCCACAUUGGGGACUGAGACACGGCCCAA
rnacentral:rRNA from 1 species